CCCGUGCCUGCAACUCUCCCAUGGCCUCCCUAGGCCAUGGGAGGCUAGGCUUCUUCCAAUCACCAUGCAAGAUGGAAACUUUGAGUUUUCUGUUCCAGUCCAGAGAAGGGUGAAGUCUUCUGUCUCCACUGACCACGAAGGAGAGCUGUCUGGCAGGAUGCAGCAGGGAUCAGGGAUCAGGAGCCCCGCUGGUGUUUGAGACUGAGAUUGCUUCCUUAUCUUGCAGGAAGCCAUUGAGACCUGGGUGCCAUCUGGAGCAGUAGCUGCCUGUCAGUUCCUGCUGACCAAGGUCAACACUGAUUCCGGCUGCCACACUGGAGAAGAAAAGAGAUGUUUCUGCAUGCUGUGCCCAGGAGUGGCGUGGGCCUUUGUCUGGAGGAGAAAACAGUUGCCAUGGACUGAACAGCUUUCCUCCUUUGGCUUUCCCACCCUUGCUGCCUUAGAGCCAUCAGACCGUGGGCUGAACCCACUGGAAACUGUGAGCUAAAUAAACCUCUCCUCCUUGG